UAAUCGCGGAUCAGCAUGCCGCGGUGAAUACGUUCCCGGGCCUUGUACACACCGCCCGUCACACCAUGGGAGUUUGUAACGCCCAAAGUCGGUGGCCUAACCUUUAUGGAGGGAACCGCCUAAGGCGGGACAGAUGACUGGGGUGAAGUCGUAACAAGGUAGCCGUAGGAGAACCUGCGGCUGGAUCACCUCCUUUCUAAGGAA
rnacentral:rRNA from 1 species